ACCAGUGUGGUGUAGUGGUUCGAGUGUUGGAAUAUGACUAUGGAGACCAGGGUUCAAAUCCCUGCUCAGCUA